AAAAAUGCAAAGUGGGGAUGUCACUCAUACAAUGGGCAAAUAAUGAAUGGCAUGUGACAUAUAAUCCACCAAUCAAAUUACAAGGAUCUAUUUAGGUGCCACAUAAAGCCAGAUAACUACAAUGGUCAUCCACGUUCCUUGAUGUCGUGAUCCAAACCUCAAGGUUACACAUAUAAACUGCAUGAAUUUA